UACGGAGGGUGCGAGCGUUGUCCGGAAUCAUUGGGCGUAAAGGGCGCGUAGGUGGCCCGGUCAGUUCGUGGUGAAAGCGCGGGGCUCAACCCUGCGUCGGCCAUGAAUACUGCCGCGGCUGGAGCACUGUAGAGGCAGGGCGGAAUUCCGGGGUGUAGCGGUGGGAAUGCGUAGAGAUCCGGAAGAACACCCGGUGGCGAAGGCGGUUCUCUGGGACGGUACUGACGCUGAGACGCGAAACGUGGGGAGCGAACAGGAUAG
rnacentral:rRNA from 1 species